rnacentral:rRNA from 1 species
UACUGACGCUGAGGAGCGAAAGCGUGGGGAGCGAACAGGAUUAGAUACCCUGGUAGUCCACGCCGUAAACGGUGGAUGCUGGAUGUGGGGCCCGUUCCACGGGUUCCGUGUCGGAGCUAACGCGUUAAGCAUCCCGCCUGGGGAGUACGGCCGCAAGGCUAAAACUCAAAGAAAUUGACGGGGGCCCGCACAAGCGGCGGAGCAUGCGGAUUAAUUCGAUGCAACGCGAAGAACCUUACCUGGGCUUGACAUGUUCCCGACAGCCGUAGAGAUAUGGCCUCCCUUCGGGGCGGGUUCACAGGUGGUGCAUGGUCGUCGUCAGCUCGUGUCGUGAGAUGUUGGGUUAAGUCCCGCAACGAGCGCAACCCUCGCCCUGUGUUGCCAGCACGUCGUGGUGGGAACUCACGGGGGACCGCCGGGGUCAACUCGGAGGAAGGUGGGGAUGACGUCAGAUCAUCAUGCCCCUUACGUCCAGGGCUUCACGCAUGCUACAAUGGCCGGUACAACGGGAUGCGACACGGCGACGUGGAGCGGAUCCCUGAAAACCGGUCUCAGUUCGGAUUGGAGUCUGCAACCCGACUCCAUGAAGGCGGAGUCGCUAGUAAUCGCGGAUCAGCAACGCCGCGGUGAAUGCGUUCCCGGGCCUUGUACACACCGCCCGUCAAGUCAUGAAAGUGGGUAGCACCCGAAGCCGGUGGCCUAACCCUUUGUGGAUGGAGCCGUCUAAGGUGAGACUCGUGAUUGGGACUAAGUCGUAACAAGGUAGCCGUACCGGAAGGUGCGGCUGGAUCACCUCCUUUCUACGGAG